CCUACGGGAGGCAGCAGUGAGGAAUAUUGGUCAAUGGCCGGAAGGCUGAACCAGCCAUGCCGCGUGAAGGUCAGUGCCCUAUGGGCGUUAAACUUCUUUUGUGCGGGAGCAAUAAUGGUCACGUGUGGCCAGACGAGAGUACCGUACGAAUAAGCAUCGGCUAACUCCGUGCCAGCAGCCGCGGUAAUACGGGGGAUGCAAGCGUUAUCGGGAAUAAUUGGGUUGAAAGGGUGCGUAGGCUGUGAGGUAAGUCAGCGGUGAAAUGCCCCCGCUCAACGGGGUGAAGUGCCAUUGAUACUGCCUAGCUGGAAUGCGGAUGCCGUGGGAGGAAUGUGUGGUGUAGCGGUGAAAUGCAUAGAUAUCACACAGAACACCGAUUGCGAAGGCAUCUCACGAAUCCGCGAUUGACGCUGAGGCACGAAGGCCAGGGGAGCGAAAGGGAUUAGAUACCCUUGUAGUC
rnacentral:rRNA from 1 species